UUCCACAUUAAAUCUGUCGACUCUGCUAACAGAAGCCGCACGUUCUUCUCAACCUAGCGGCUUCUGAUUGGAAAUCAAGAAGGAAUUCAGGUUUCCCCGUCUCCGAUGAAGAAGUCAUCGUCACUGUUCGUCGCGAGAAUCAACGGAGAUUCGGUCGAUGGGUUUGCAGAUUCUAGGGUUUAUCAUGGUUGUGUUGAUUGAUUAGAUUUUGAUGACCCCACGACCCAAUUUAUGAUCAAAGAUGAGGUUGAUAAAUGGAAAAAUGAAGGUACGAACCGCAGGGGUUCUCGAUUCCUCUAUGAUGACCACCGGAGAGCGCCUCAUCAGAUACAUUUGCUUUUUCAUUAUUUUUAGUCGGCAACGCUUAAUCCCACCACCAAUCCCUCCACCGAUCGCUCAAAACCUUCAAUCGCUUUGAAUGUCGACAACCUCCACACCAGAACCUCACGGUAGCGCUUCCCUUUAUGGCCCCUUUGUUCUCAACCUUCAUUUUUCUUGAUGCAGACGAAAUCGCCUGCACCGACAUGUUCGACCCUAAAUCACCGCCUCCGGUUUCCUUUUCUUGCAUCGUCUAUCUUGCUGAAUAAUUUGACCCACUGCACGCCGCCAUCGUAUUUCCCCAUCUGUUAACAACAUCAGUAAUGGAGCUGACGAACAACCAUACUCAAACCAUCAGCCGAUGUCUGUACCUGUUCUCAAUCCAUGAAUACCGUAUGUCGAGCCAACUUCCAUGAACAAGGUGCUUCAAAGCUCAAAUUUCAACUUACUUUAUGGUUUUUGAUAAUUCAUCAAUUCUAUCUGACGGUGCUUCUCUUCCUCAGUCCAUGUAUCCACGUGUUCAAAUAUGUGAUAAAUUGUCAUGUCCGCCAACCGUUUGAUGUAAGUUUUCUCCACCUGCUCACCGAUGUCCUUUUCCUGUUCAAUUCAAAUCGACCCAUUUCAAGGCUUGCUGUGUCGCGUCAUCGACUGGAAUAGAGCAUCGUUCCGUCUUCCAAUCAAUCGUCUCCACAAUCUGAAUCUAUGUAUUGUAUGUAAUGAGUGAAGUUCGUUUACUUAGUUUCAUGCUUUCAUUUUAUGAAUUUAUAAGAAUCCCAAAUUUCUUUGUCUCCUGUACGCCAAUGGGUUUUACUUUUCCUUCUAUAUUUAUUGAGGUUAUAAUCUAAUAAUGUUACCUGAAGACCCAACCAAAAACCAUGCUCAAAGCCCCAAAAUAAGAAAAGCCUCCGGAGGUCGAAGGAAAGAAGAGCAACAACAGAAGCUUACUCUGACAAAAUUUAUCAAUAAUGUGAGUUGGUUUUAUUUUCAUUAUUUUUCAAACAAUAUAUGAAAUGAAGUUUGUUUCUCACAUCUAUUAAUUGCCUCCUCCUAUCUGCAUCAAAGGUUGUGGGGAACAAUGUAAACAUAAAUAAAUAUCCUUUGAGUAUUAAUAUGGGGAUGCAUAACUUGAAGAUUUCGACAUCUGAUGAGUUAUGGAGAGCCAUCCGGAAUUUCCGGCCAUCAGCCAUGGUUGGAGUUUCGGAUGGUAAAUAAACGGUGGGUGGACAGGACAUCCAUUAAAAUCUGGAGUAAGGAUAACUGUCGCGAUCAAGAUUUUAAACACAAAUAAUGUUCAGAGUCUCAGUGCCACUGAGAUUUUGUUUCCUUUGGUUUGAAUUUUCACCUCAAGGCUAGGUCUAACUUUGAAAUUUGUUAAAACUUUUGAGUUUAGUUAUAGUCCUUUAUAAAAAAACACCUGCUAUUUUGCUUUAUAGAAAGAGAGACAUAUCCUGUUAUAACAUUUUAUCAUUAACGUAUUAAACGAUGUGUUGUGUUUCAGUGUGUCACGGGAAGAAGUGAAUCAGUGAAGGUUUAGUCAUUCCAAUUUUGUUAAUACCUUUUUUGUGAACUUUGUUUUUUUUUUUUUUUUGGGAUUUUUAUUUGGAUUUGCUUUCUUGAAUGUGAUCAUGGUGCUCCAGCCAAGUAUACGAUUCUUGAACACUCAGUUGUCAUUCAUUACAUCAAUCUAUAUAUCUCAUUAAAUCAUGAAACGGGUAUAUCUAUUUUACGUGUGUUUGAUCACAAACUUAUUUUUUCCUUAACUAUCAUCUUAUACACUUUCUAUUGUAUCGUCGCUGUCAUCUUCAUCGGUGUGGAAUCGGGUUCAUACAGCUAAUUUCGGAAGCUUACGGUUGCAUAUGAGGUUGGCAUUGCAACGGUUUUGAAGAAUCAUUGUUCAAAUGCAGAAACUGCAGAUAAAAAGGUACAAGAUUUAAACUUUAGAUGUUGGUGAUGAAUCUUAAAAAAAGGGUAUGAUUUUUGUUCUUUGAUGCAACAAUUUUCGUAUUUUUUUUUUUGUUGUGUUUAACUAUUUUUUGAUGUUAGAUUUUUGACGUGGGGUUUUGAACGAAAGAACAAUUUGGUGGCUAACUUGGUGGCUAAGUGUUUUGAUUUUGAUUUUUUUAACUUUUUCUUUGGAUCACAAGUUUAUAGGUGAUGCUGAUUGUUUUUAACCUAUAGCUUUUAGUGACAAUAUACUAGGUUUCACACUUUGCAUUUGGGUUCUUCAGAUUUACACUUUACAUCUUGAGUUUAUGUUGGAAUAAAAUGAUAUCAUCCUUGUGCAAUUUAAUGAUUCGCAUGUUUAUUAA